AUUGAACGCUGGCGGCAGGCCUAACACAUGCAAGUCGAGCGAGCGGCGGACGGGUGAGUAAUGUCUGGGAAUCUGCCCGAUGGAGGGGGAUAACUACUGGAAACGGUGGCUAAUACCGCAUACUAUCGGAUGAACCCAUAUGGGAGUAGCUAGUAGGUGGGGUAAAGGCGCACCUAGGCGACGAGCUCUAGCUGGUCUGAGAGGAUGAACAGCCACACUGGAACUGAGACACGGCCCAGACUCCUACGGGAGGCAGCAGUGGGGAAUAUUGCACAAUGGGCGCAAGCCUGAUGCAGCCAUGCCGCGUGUAUGAAGAAGGCCUUAGGGUUGUAAAGUACUUUCAGCGGGGAGGCGUUACCCGCAGAAGAAGCACCGGCUAACUCCGUGCCAGCAGCCGCGGUAAUUC
rnacentral:rRNA from 1 species